UACAGCCCUAAUGCAUUCUAAUAUAAUUCUAUAAUAAUUCUAAUACAAUCUGGGUGAUAAUCGGGGGCUACGUGUUCUAUAGUGUAUCUUGCAGUUGCACGUUACAGAAGAAUGCAAAAUUGAACUAAAAUGGAAAAGCUCAUGAACUACCGUAACUAUCAUGCAUCACUGUCAAACAGUGCAGUCGCUUCAUGUUGUGUUUGUUCUGUGUAGGUUUUUUUCACGACGUUAUACAAUCUGAAACACUAUCUAACAAGGUCAUCUCAGAAAGAAGGCGUUCAAGUGGACUGAUAAAACUAUGGUUAACUUUAAAACAAAUGAAAGGAUAUUUUUGAGUUUGCAAGCCUCACAUGAAUUAAUACUUGGGAAAUGGAAAAAAACCUCUGUCAGCAGUUCUAAUGACACAUUUACAAGGCAUCGCAAGUACCGUUCACGUGACCCCAUAAAAGUGGGAAAGUAUCACUUUCUUUACAUUUAUAAAAGCAAUGAUUUUGAUUAGCAUUAAAUUAACGGUGUAGUCCAGUCGUACUCGUAAAACAGUUCAAACUUUCAAGCUUCCCUUUCUGUACAAAAGUACUUUCAAUUUUGAUUUCAACGCACGUACGUGCGUUGCCUCGCGAAGGGGGGAAUCCUCCAUACCCGUGAAUGCGUCCGAUUGUCUAGCUUACUGUUACAAAGAAAAGAGGGCACGGAGAACUCAGAUAACAUAUCCGCUACAUUUGCUCCCGGAGGCCUGCUGAUAGCUGUAGCCUUAAAUACUAUUUCCCUUGCUGAGACCCGAACUUGGCCACAAUGCGGAAGAGGACGGUAAAUUCACUACCUGUCCAACCAAAAUGUCCAAGGCGAAACGGUCUGGCCGCUCAGGGCAUCUCCGGCCAUUUGCAGGUCUGCCGUGCCCACAGGAACCGCCAUUGGAGAAGAAACUCUCUUUCCGCACACCGACGAUGACGUAACUGCGUCACUGGGCUGACGUCGCUGUUGAUUGGAGCCCCAUCACGGAUGUGCACUGAAAUACUACGCAUACUACACGCACACAGCAAAACCAUGAGAAUAAAACAUGUGUGUCAGCCUGAUUGUCAAUUUGGCUACUCGGGAGUGGUGCAUCUUAAUAUUUAUCCAUCUUUGACAACCUCUUGGUUUCCACUUUUGUGUGCGUUUCUUUUUUACAAGCGCCAACAAGUCUGAUGUUCAUGCAUAUUUUUAAAUAACUACAAAUAUUAAAAAGU